rnacentral:rRNA from 1 species
AGUGAACGCUGGCGGUAGGCCUAACACAUGCAAGUCGAACGGCAGCACAGUAAGAGCUUGCUCUUACGGGUGGCGAGUGGCGGACGGGUGAGGAAUACAUCGGAAUCUACUUUUUCGUGGGGGAUAACGUAGGGAAACUUACGCUAAUACCGCAUACGACCUACGGGUGAAAGCAGGGGAUCUUCGGACCUUGCGCGAUUGAAUGAGCCGAUGUCGGAUUAGCUAGUUGGCGGGGUAAAGGCCCACCAAGGCGACGAUCCGUAGCUGGUCUGAGAGGAUGGUAGGCCACACUGGAGCUGAGACACGGUCCAGACUCCUACGGGAGGCAGCAGUGGGGAAUAUUGGACAAUGGGCGCAAGCCUGAUCCAGCCAUACCGCGUGGGUGAAGAAGGCCUUCGGGUUGUAAAGCCCUUUUGUUGGGAAAGAAAAGCAGCAGGUUAAUACCCCGCUGUUCUGACGGUACCCAAAGAAUAAGCACCGGCUAACUUCGUG